UUUUCUUUUCUUUUCUUUUCUUUUCUUUUCUUUUCUUUUCUUUUCUUUUCUUUUCUUUCUUCUUUCUUUCUCCUUCUUUCUGACAGAAGAUUGGAAACAAUAUCCUUUUCCGAUCAGUCCAGUAAUACAAUGUCCUUCAGUGUCCACUUGAGCAUUUCAGUGGAGAAGAAAAGAAACUUUGCUACCUUGGAGCUGAAGACUGCUUAGGUCAGUGGAUGCUAAUAAAGUCCUUAAGGACUUAUGGAACCAGGAGUUAACUUUUCUCAACUGUGAAGUAAAGAUGCUGCUGUUCCAUGUUCAGUUCUCAUCUUUCCAAGACUGUGCUGCUCGAGGAGAUCUGCCCUGUGGAAGGCGAACUGUGAUCUAGAUUAUUGGUCAAACGAAGUCAACCGAUUCAUGACUUGCCAGCUGGAUCUCCCUUGCUUCUUCCAGGAGAGAGGGGGUUGAAAGAGCCAACAGGAACUGAGAAGCAUGAUAAACGAAGGAGGAAAAGUAACAAAGAGCUUGAAGACUUCCAUGGCUCCCAGGUCCUGCAUGGAAGGCCGGCGGCCUCAGAAGGGCAGAACCAAGGAGGUGCCUGUGGCUGCAGAGGCCAGACUUGUCUUGGAAAAAAUGGAGAAGAGCCAGUAAACUUGGCUUCCUCGCUUCUGCUCAUCCCCAUCAGCAGAGAGAAAUAAUGACUCCCGAAACAUUUCAGAAUCAAAAAGUUAAAACGAUGGUUCAGUGAUGCUACAUCAAGCCAGAUGCGGGCUAAUGGUUUGAAGACAUUGGCCUAGCAAGAUGGCCACAAGCUUAAAAAAUAGGAUUCCUAAGAAGUUUCUUUUCUCAGACAUCUCAAACCCCCAAACGAGAGAAGAUACUGAGGCCUGUUGCCACAAACCCGUAGAUCCGAACUUGUGGUGAUAGUCCACACAAGCUUGUGUCUAUAGGUAUGUGUCUGUUAGGCAAUCUCACAGACUGCGGGCUUUGCCUGUAUGCCCCCCAAUCCCCCUUCCCACCCCUUUCACUCCCCCUCUUCCCCUUAGUUUCCUUUAAGAGUGGUAGAAAUGGAAAGAAGGGCUGGUACGGGAGGAAGGAGACCUUCUGUUCCGAGAGGGAUGGGAGUCCUCAUUCAUUAAUUUAUAAGCGUGCCCUCAAUUCCCUUAGCUCUUGUAACUAUUGUCAGCUAUCAAAUUAGGAGACGGGGCUCGCAGGUGAGGCAGCAAGACUUUGGGUGACUCAGACAGCUUACUGUUGAGGGAUGAGUAAAUAGAUACCUAAACAAGGGUCUGUUUUGUUUUCUGUAGGCCUGACUAAUUGUUUUGAAAGUUACCAUGAUCUUUUUUUUGAAAAUGAACAGAAGCUCGUGUAGGAGACCCAUCUCACCCUGGCUUGAUUUGUACCUUGUGGCAGUUCUUUCUCCCCCAUUGUUCUCAAAUCCAUCCUUACCUUUUAAAAUAAAAUUAACCGGGGCAAUGGAUGUGCUGAAGUCUUUAUACUUCUGUGCAUAGCCAACACUGUAAGAAAAAGAACUUUUUAUAAAAAAGAAAUCUCCCGUUGAGGUCUAACUUCAUAGUUGGCCAGAGUUGUAUUGUAAGUCUUCACAUGUUUAAGAGGCUGGAAUGAAAAUAAUUUUAUCCCCUUGCCUCUUAAAUGUCACCAUUGUGCCAGGAUUGGAAAGCCAAACUGACUGCAGAUCAAAGCAAAAGUGGCUAUAUUUGUCUCAUUCCAACAAUGUGAGCUGAGGAGUCUGUAAACAGAACCCAGGGUGAAAAGUUGAUCAGAUUUGGAUGACUCUUAAACUCUUGCAUUCCCUUCUGGUCAAACACGGUGCCAGGAAUUCCCUUAAGAUUUUUUUGUUUUGUUUUGUUUUACUUAUUUAUUUAUUUUUUUUUUGUGCAGACUCUUCUAACCAGAAGAGUCAAUAUAAAGCAGUUACUGAGUUACCAUUGGCAAAAAGUUUGAAAUUCAAAUGGUAACAUUUUAUUUCAUUAAAUGCUCUUUCCUCUUCAGAGCCACACUAUUCCGGGAUGGUAGAACUCUUUCUUCUAUUAUGUCCAUAAAAAUGAAAUGUUGUAUGUUGGAAUUGGGAAGGUCUAGGUAUAGACCCCAUAUGUUUAAGGGCGAGAAUGGAAAGUUCUGCAAACACUCCACCAGGAGGGUAUGGUGUACGUGCGUUUUCUUUGUGUUUGCUUGGCAUAGCAUCGAGAAGGGUUGUAGAUCUCAGCUGCCAGCUUGCCAAGAAGUCAUUACUUCAUUAUGCGAUGAUAGAACAUGACUUCCAGAAGAGAAAGAUUGUCCUCAUUGACAUGUAUCAUGUAUAAUCGUUUGCCCAAGGCCUUGAUCCACCCAUUAAACAAACAAUCUACUUGAUUGGUUUUACCUGCUUCUUUGAAGUGGUUGACUUAGAAUGGAUAAGCUGCUAGCAAAUUAAACUUGUACUUCCCUGGAUAAAUACUUAUCUUUGAUAAAGGCAAAAUCAUGUCUCUACCCAUCAUCCCUUUAACCUGCCGUUAAAGUGUGUUACCAGUGGGACCAAUGGAGUUCAUUGAAUCCAAGGGAAUGUUAUGCUGCCUGUAGUCCCCAUACAGAGACACCAGAAGGACUUCAGGAUGGCCAUGAGGUGACUGCCAGGUUGUUUCUUUGAAGGAGGUUUUUAAAACCCAUUACCCCAAGAAAAAAGAUUAUGGAGAGCAGUCAAUCUUUUCAAGGUUUCUCAAAGACCUGAGAUAUUAUUAUUUGAUUCAUCUGACUGGAAAAUAUUCUAGUGGAAAACCCAAAGCCCCUGGACCCUAGCCACAAGAAACAGGAUAUUAAAUAUUUUACUUGAUGAUGCAAUUCAGUGUUUUUCCCUCCCUCCAUGUCCAUGAAUGAAUGCUUCUGUAGAUAUUAAUUAUUCCUUUGGGUCUCCCUCAGAGUGGACCAAAUAUUCUACAGGAAGCUGCAGAAAGUAAAAUAAUUUCAGGUCUUCCUGGGAAGACUCUAAAAAUAUAUUUCAGUAGUCAUUAUUGCAUGGAGGUGUAGAGAGAAAGAGUAUAAAACAAAGCAGUUUUAUUAAAAUCCUCAACUCGUCACUAUCAAAAUAAAUUUAUGAAGCUGUAACACCAGGAUGUAGUUUAGAUUUUUUAAAAAAAAUGAAAAUUAUAAUUAUUUUUUUUUAA